CCUGACGACCAUCAGGACUAGUGCAACAAAUCAAGUCUACCGCGGUUAUCAAGUUUCUUCGACAGCCUCUCAGACAGCAACAUGUUGCGAUCUAAGAAGUCAUCGAGACCGCGGACAUGUGAUACACCCAAACCAGGCUGAUCCAAAUCACGGAAUAUACAUUGUUGAUACCACAAGAUACUACGAUGUUGUUGUAGCCACAGCACCACUCAGGCUUGAUGUCUUCCAUUGUAGCGGCCCAGAACCGUUGACCCGGCAUCAGCUCACCAAACGAGUUCAGUUUACCAGUUCCAAAGGCUAGGUGGCCAGUAUUAGAGUCGCCAACGAUACAUGUGGAGUUUCGAUUCUUCCAACUGACUGAUCGAAAGGUCAGGCUGUAUCGAACUCCUUUUUUCACAGAACCCUUCUCUAUACGAUGAGAGAAGAAGUCCUGUGACCGCCGAGUCAUUCGGUACAUUGAUCUGUGGCUGCAGUCUAACUUGAGACUGUCAGUCUUAGAGCUUUUCUCAGCAAACAAGAUCUCACAAGAUUCACCCACUGUGAUCGUAAAAAUUGACGAUUCGGGGUGGAUAGUGAUCUCAUUAUCUGAGUGUUCUGGAAGAAAGCUCUCCUGACCAACGUAUCGAUUGACCAAGCAGGAGUUGAUAACUGGUGCUGCUCCUUUCUUCUUCAGCUCGGGAUAGAUCUUGUAGAACUCAUCAGCCUGCAUCUUAUUGAUCGACUCCACUAAGGGUUGCAAGGCUUCAGGAAUGGUGGGCGGACUGGUGGUCGCUUUUGACCCUACAUAAGAAUAUGGAUGGCCAAACGAUUUCACUGAGUGACCAUUCUCAUCAUUAAAUUCAGUGGCUGUUAGGAAGUCAACGAUGGUCUGUGCAGCCUGUUCAUUAAUAAAAUCGUUGAUCAUUGUUGCCGGGACCAUACCGGAUGGGACUGCAGGGGGCUCAAACACUAGAUGCUCUGGACGGGGAGGAGGCGUGGCAACAUGUUCUGGUUGUGGGGUGGCCGUGGUUGAUAUGCUCUCGAGUUUUACUGAUAAGGCCUUCAGCGUUGAAUUGGUCUUAUCUUGUUGCAGAUUUAAGUGCGUGAGACCUGUGCUUAUUUCUGAUAAGGCCACCACUCUCUCAGCAAUCUGAUUGUAGCUGCUACUAAUCCUGUCGGUGUCUGCAAUCAGAGAAGUUAGUCUAUCCUCGAGAGAGGUUAUCUGCUUCGUAAGCAAAGCAUUGUCAUCUGACAAGUUGGAUAUUCUCAGAAUCAGACUGUCCGUUUGUGUGUUGUUGCGGGCUUCAACACCCGGUGGACUGAAGCAAA